rnacentral:rRNA from 1 species
UACGUAGGGGGCGAGCGUUGUCCGGAAUCAUUGGGCGUAAAGCGCGUGUAGGCGGCUUGGUAAGUCUGGUGUGAAAUCCUGGGGCUUAACCCCAGACCUGCACUGGAUACUGCCAAGCUUGAGUCCGGGAGGGGAGAGCGGAAUUCCUAGUGUAGCGGUGAAAUGCGCAGAUAUUAGGAAGAACACCGGUGGCGAAGGCGGCUCUCUGGAACGGUACUGACGCUGAGACGCGAAAGCGUGGGGAGCGAAC